UACGGGGGGGGCAAGCGUUGUUCGGAAUUACUGGGCGUAAAGGGCGCGUAGGCGGUUCGCUAAGUUGGAUGUGAAAACUCUGGGCUCAACCCAGAGCCUGCAUCCAAAACUGGCGGGCUAGAGUUCUGGAGGGGGUAGCGGAAUUCCUGGUGUAGCGGUGAAAUGCGUAGAUAUCAGGAGGAACACCGGUGGCGAAGGCGGUGAUCUGGGCCGACACUGACGCUGUAGAGCGAAAGCGUGGGGAGCGAACAGG
rnacentral:rRNA from 1 species